UACGUAGGCAGCAAGCGUUGUUCGGAGUUACUGGGCGUAAAGGGUGUGUAGGCGGUUCUUUUAAGUUUGGUGUGAAAUCUCCCGGCUCAACCGGGAGGGUGCGCCGAAUACUGAGGGACUAGAGUGUGGGAGAGGAAAGUGGAAUUCCUGGUGUAGCGGUGAAAUGCGUAGAUAUCAGGAGGAACACCGGUGGUGUAGACGGCUUUCUGGACCAUAACUGACGCUGAGACACGAAAAGCGUGGGUAGCAAACAGG
rnacentral:rRNA from 1 species